CACGUAGGGCGCAAGCGUUGUCCGGAAUUAUUGGGCGUAAAGGGCUCGUAGGCGGUUUGUCACGUCGGGCGUGAAAACUCAGGGCUCAACCCUGAGCGUGCGUCCGAUACGGGCAGACUAGAGGUAUGCAGGGGAGAACGGAAUUCCUGGUGUAGCGGUGGAAUGCGCAGAGUAUCAGGAGGAACACCGGUGGCGAAGGCGGCAUCCUGGACCGACAUUGACGCUGAUGAGCGAAAGCUAGGGGAGCAAACGGGA
rnacentral:rRNA from 1 species